AUGGCGUCCGAGCAGCUGCUGCCCGCCGUGCCGAGGUGGAGGCCGAGCCCGCCGCGGGAGCAGAGCCGUCCCGGCCACGCCGCAGACGGCGAGGGCCCGUCCGACACGGCCUCCGACGUCCUCGGCGGCUCCCUGCGCAGCACCGACGGCUUCCCUUUCGGCAGCGGGAGCUCGUUCCCGCCGCCGCCGUUCGCUCCGAUGCCGGUGACCCUGCCGCGGUCGCGGACCUCCUCGUCGCUCGAGAUCAGCGUGGAGAACGGCGCCGGCGCCGUGCCCGCCGUGGUUCGCGAGACGUCGUUGCGCCGGGUUGACCAGGGCGUCGUGCUCUCCUGGGAGGACCUGUGGGUGUCGGCGGCCGGCGGCAAGGCCGGCCGCGUCCCCAUCCUGCGCGGCCUCAACGGUUAUGCGCGCCCCGGCGAGGUCCUCGCCAUCAUGGGGCCCUCCGGCUGCGGCAAAUCCACCCUUCUGGACGCUCUAGCAGGAAGGCUAGGCUCUGGUGUCAGCCAGAAGGGAGACAUCUUGAUCAAUGGCCGGAGGCAGAAGUUAUCGUACGGAACUUCGGCGUACGUGACGCAGGACGACGUGCUGAUGACGACGCUGACGGUGCGGGAGGCGGUACGCUACUCGGCGUCGCUGCAGCUGCCGAGCGGCAUGUCGGCGGCGGCGAAGCGGGAGAGGGCGGAGGAGACGCUGCGGGAGAUGGGGCUGGAGGGCGCGGCGGACACGCGCAUCGGCGGGUGGAUGCACAAGGGGAUCAGCGGCGGCCAGCGGCGCCGGGUCAGCAUCUGCAUGGAGAUCCUCACCCGGCCGGCGCUGCUGUUCCUCGACGAGCCCACCAGCGGCCUCGACAGCGCCGCCUCCUUCCACGUCGUCAGCCGGAUCGCCAGGCUCGCGCGCCGGGAGGGCAUGACCGUCGUCGCCGCCGUGCACCAGCCCAGCACCGAGGUCUACGGCCUCUUCCACGGGCUCUGCCUCCUCGCCUACGGCAAGACAGUCUUCUUCGGUCCCGCCGCCGAGACCAACCAGUUCUUUGCUCUGAGCGGGUUUCCUUGCCCGUCACUGAUGAACCCGUCCGACCACUUUCUGAGGACCGUAAACAAGGACUUCGACAACGUGACCACAUCGGACAUCGAGGAAGGCCUCGGCGGGAAGAAGAUGACCACUGUCGAGAACAUCGACGCGCUGGUGGCUUCCUACAAAUCCUCCGCGCACAUGGACAAGGUGACGCGGCAGAUCGCCGACAUACGCGGCACUGGAGGGGAGGUGGUGAAGAUGGAAGGGCAGCAGCCGAGCUUCCUGAUGCAGUCCUUCGUUCUAACCAAGAGAUCCUUCAUCAACAUGUACAGGGACCUCGGCUACUACUGGCUCCGCUUCGCUAUCUACAUCGCCCUCUGCCUCUGCUGCGGCACCAUCUUCUAUGACAUCGGCCAUAGCUACGGAUCCAUACAGGCUCGUGGCUCCAUGCUCAUGUUCGUCGGCGCCUUCCUCACCUUCAUGGCCAUCGGAGGCUUCCCAUCUUUCGUCGAGGACAUGAAGAUAUUUGGAAGGGAGAGGUUGAACGGGCACUACGGGGUGUCGUCGUUCGUAAUCGCCAACACAGUGUCGGCGACACCGUACCUGCUCCUUAUUUCCCUGGUGCCGGGUGCGAUGGCCUACUACCUGGUCGGCCUGCAGAGGAGCUUCGACCACUUUGCCUACUUCGCGCUGGUGCUCUUCAUGACCAUGAUGCUGGUGGAGGGCCUGAUGAUGAUCGUUGCUAGCGCCGUACCGGACUUCCUCAUGGGCAUCAUCACCGGCGCUGGCAUCCAGGGCGUCAUGAUGCUCAACGGCGGCUUCUUCCGUCUGCCCCACGACCUUCCCAAGCCGGUGUGGAGGUACCCCAUGUACUACGUCGCCUUCCACAAGUAUGCCAACCAGGGGUUCUACAAGAAUGAGUUCCUCGGCCUCACCUUCCCAAACAACCAGGCCGGCGGCGCCACCACCAUCACGGGCGACGACAUCCUCAGGGAGUACUGGCAGGUGGAGAUGGGGUACAACAAGUGGGUCGACCUCGCGGUCCUGUUCGGGAUGGUCAUAUUGUACAGGGUGCUCUUCUUGGCCAUCAUGAAGCUCACCGAGAAGGCCAAGCCCAUGGUGAACGGGCUUAGGUUCAGGAGGACCCAGCCGUCGGUGCACAUCGCCGACCAGAGUUUCGAAGCAAAUGGAGCAAAGUGA
rnacentral:rRNA from 1 species